rnacentral:rRNA from 1 species
UACGUAGGGUGCAAGCGUUAAUCGGAAUUACUGGGCGUAAAGCGUGCGCAGGCGGUUUGCUAAGACCGAUGUGAAAUCCCCGGGCUUAACCUGGGAACUGCAUUGGUGACUGGCAAGCUAGAGUGUGGCAGAGGGGGGUAGAAUUCCACGUGUAGCAGUGAAAUGCGUAGAGAUGUGGAGGAAUACCGCUGGCGAAGGCAGCCCCCUGGGCCAACACUGACGCUCAUGCACGAAAGCGUGGGGAGCAAACAGG